GAUGAACGCUGGCGGCGUGCCUAAUACAUGCAAGUCGAGCGAACAGACGAGGAGCUUGCUCCUCUUACGUUAGCGGCGGACGGGUGAGUAACACGUGGAUAACCUACCUAUAAGACUGGGAUAACUUCGGGAAACCGGAGCUAAUACCGGAUAAUAUAUUGAACCGCAUGGUUCAAUAGUGAAAGACGGUUUUGCUGUCACUUAUAGAUGGAUCCGCGCCGCAUUAGCUAGUUGGUAAGUUAACGGCUUACCAAGGCAACGAUGCGUAGCCGACCUGAGAGGGUGAUCGGCCACACUGGAACUGAGACACGGUCCAGACUCCUACGGGAGGCAGCAGUAGGGAAUCUUCCGCAAUGGGCGAAAGCCUGACGGAGCAACGCCGCGUGAGUGAUGAAGGUCUUCGGAUCGUAAAACUCUGUUAUUAGGGAAGAACAAAUGUGUAAGUAACUAUGCACGUCUUGACGGUACCUAAUCAGAAAGCCACGGCUAACUACGUG
rnacentral:rRNA from 1 species